UACUAGAGUAGCACUCGCAUAUCAAUAAGCGGAGGAAAAGAAACUAACAAGGAUUCCCCUAGUAACGGCGAGUGAAGCGGGAAGAGCUCAAAUUUGAAAUCUUAAAGGGUUUCCCUUUACGAAUUGUAGUUUAAAGAAGUGUUUUCUGUUGAGGUUUUGGUAAAAGUUCUUUGGAAUAGGACAUCAUAGAGGGUGAGAAUCCCGUAUUUGACCUUUACUUUCAACUUUGUGAUACACUUUCAAAGAGUCGGAUUGUUUGGGAAUGCAGUCCAAAAUGGGUGGUAAAUUUCAUCUAAAGCUAAAUAUUGGCGAGAGACCGAUAGCGAACAAGUACCGUGAGGGAAAGAUGAAAAGAACUUUGAAAAGAGAGUUAAACAGUACGUGAAAUUGUCAAAAGGGAAGCGUUUGACACCAGUGUUGUUUUUCUGAAAAUCAAUUAAAGAACUGUUUAUGCUAAGCUGUUUAGACUUUAUCAGCUAACUGUUUAGUUUUGAGCUUUUCUUUAAUGCACUUUUCAGUUAACAAGUCAACAUCAAUUUCUUUUGCUGUAAAAAAGCUUGAGGAAGGUGGCUUGAGAUUCGUCUUAAGUGUUUAUAGCCUCUUGCCUAUGCAGUCGGAGAGAUUGAGGUCUGCAGCGUAGAUCCUUCGGGGCUAAAUGCAUUUGUGCUAAGUUAUAGCAUUCUAUAGACAACUUGUUGACUAUGAUUUGUCUUGUAGCUUACUCGCUUAUGUUAUUUUACCUACGCUUAGGAUGUUGAGCGCAUGUCUCUCUCU
rnacentral:rRNA from 1 species